UAAUGAGUGUUUUAUGGCACUUUUUUAAAUCCAUAUCCACCUUGUGUGCAAUGUCAGUCGAUCUUCUUCAUGGAGAUCGACCAAACAUCAACCUUUAUCUUUUAACUCUUUGUCUGAAAAAUAUUAUGAAUAAACAAUUCAAAAUA
rnacentral:misc_RNA from 1 species